UGUUCUAUGGCCGAACUGGUAAAGGCAUUGCCGAUCACAGCCAAGGUUGCGGGUUCGAGUCCCGCUGGAUCGG
rnacentral:tRNA from 1 species